rnacentral:rRNA from 2 species
UAAGCCUGUGAAGGUGGCCUGUGAGGGUUGCUGGAGGUAUCAGAAGUGCGAAUGCUGACAUAAGUAACGAUAAAGCGGGUGAAAAGCCCGCUCGCCGGAAGACCAAGGGUUCCUGUCCAACGUUAAUCGGGGCAGGGUGAGUCGACCCCUAAGGCGAGGCCGAAAGGCGUAGUCGAUGGGAAACGGGUUAAUAUUCCCGUACUUGGUGUUACUGCGAAGGGGGGACGGAGAAGGCUAUGUUGGCCGGGCGACGGUUGUCCCGGUUUAAGCGUGUA